CCUACGGGGUGCAGCAGUGAGGAAUAUUGGUCAAUGGGCGCAAGCCUGACCCAGCCAAGUAGCGUGAAGGAUGACGGCCCUACGGGUUGUAAACUGCGUUUAUACGGGAAUAAAGUGCGUCACGUGUUCAGUUUUGUAUGUACUGUAUGAAUAAGGAUCGGCUAAUUCCGUGCCAGCAGCCGCGGUAAGACGGAGGGUCCGGGCGUUGUCCGGAUUUAUUGGGUUUAGAGGGAGCGUAGCCUGGGUGUUAAGUGAGUUGUGAAAUGCAGUGGCUCAACCCAAGAACUGCAUUUGAUACUGUAAGUCUUGAGUAUUGGUGAGGUAGGCGGAAUUCGUGGUGUAGCGGUGAAAUGCGUAGAUAUACGGAGGAACACCGAUGGCGAAGGCGGCUUGCUAAACUAUAACUGACGCUGAGGAGCGAAAGCGUGGGUAGCAAACAGGAUUAGAUACCCCUGUAGUC
rnacentral:rRNA from 1 species